ensembl:lncRNA
UGUGCCUUUACUGCGGGGAAAGCGGACACCUGGUCUCUCAAUGCCAUCAUCUACGCGGUCCUCAGCGCUCUCAGAAGGCUUCUCCUUCCUCGCCCCCAAAGAGACCUACAGAGAUCAGCUUUUGGUCUGGGCACACACGUCUCCUGCCACAGGCCACCCAGGCAUUACGCGCACCUUGGGCACGCUACAGGCAAAAUAUUGGUGGCCCCAGAUGCCCCAGGACGUCCGCCAGUACGUCUCUUCCUGUUCGGUGUGCGCCCAAAGCACUACACCAAGACACCUACCCUACGGCCGGCGGUAAGGGGUCCUCUUGAUGCAACAGGGGGAGGCGCAGACCCCCCUGCUCCUUUGGAUGUCGACGGUGAGGCUGCUUAUGCUGUGCGUGACCUGCUG